rnacentral:lncRNA from 1 species
GGAAGUGCUAGAUCAGUAUCAGCAAUUGUCGUUAUAUGCUGGGGCCCCGUGCCACACGUCAUCUCAUGUUAUGCCUGCAGCAACUCACGGCUGGUGACCUCGAGGAGUGGGAAAGUCACACUUGCCCAGGCUUAUGCAGCUGUUAUGUGGUAGAGCCAGAACUAAAACCCACAGCCAUACAAUUUUAAAGCCUGAGAUAUUUCCGGAAUACCAUGCUGCCCCCUUUCCCAAUGAGAGCGCUUUCUCACCACGGUGUCCAUUUGCAGGGUCAGAAGUUUCUCCACUCACCCUGGUCUCCUCAGGCCCGAGGGUAUCCAACUGUGUGCUGGUGGCCUGUGCGGAGAGGGCCCAGGGACAAGCAAACCUUUGCAGACGAUGCUGGACUGUUAUACUCAAUAUAGAGAGGGGGUGCCCAUCAGAAGAGGGAGAGAGAAAGAACACGGCGGAGGGAGAAGAGACCUCCUGUUUGCAUUUGUCCAUGUUUGCAUCUGCCUUGGUCUCCAGCCUUGACUUUAGGAGACGAUACAGCAGGAUGUAAUCAAGUCCCACUUGGGGCGGCAAGUUUCCAGGGAGCCUCAUUGAAGUAUCAUCUCAGUGACUUUUUCAACUUUCAUUUAUCAUUUUCCAAAACAACAUAAGGCCUUGGCACCCAGCUCGCCUUCUCUGGAGCAUCCCGCCCCGCCUGCCUUCUGUAGAAAAACGUGAAGUAUAGCAUCUGGCAAAAUGCUUCCUGCAGAGCAGGUAUUCAGCGCUGUAAGAUGGCUCCGGGACCAGCAGGUCGCUCCGGAACGCAUUCCUACACCCCUUCCCCUCCUUCCUCUCCCUACCCCCUCAGAAGUCCCCUCCUCAGCCAAGAGGGCCGGGACUGCAAGCUUGUUGCAUUUGCGCGUGCAUGUGUCUUCCUGCUGGGAAGCAGCGUAUGAGGUCCCACCCCUAACCCCACAGUCCCAAAUUGAAACAAGCUGACUGCAAUUGUGAGCGAGCCCAGCUCACACCAGCUGGGGCCUGCUUGCAGCUUCAGAAAAUGCUGUUUCAUGUUUAGAUGCAAAUGACUAUUUCCUCUCUAGAGCACGCCCAGCUCCAGCCUGAGCCGCAGCAGAGGGGAACCGAGGCUCGGAAUGCUAGGCCAGGGCUGUCAGGAUGAAUUAUGCUGCCCUGAAGCGCCCCCUGAAUUCAGAGAGAGAUGAGGAAACCAAACUCAAGAGAGGGGAAGUAAUUUACCCUGUGUCACACAGCUGGUCCAACAGGCUCGCCUUGCUUAUCCCAACGGCCAUUUCUCCCCAUCCGUAGCACACAAAUCUUCCAGGACCUGGUGGGGGACUGGCGGGGCCGUGCAGAGUUACAGGAUGAACACCAGCCAUCAACCUGGGGCAUCCUUUUCACUUGCUGGGGAGUAAUUUAAACAUUAUUUGAUGUCAAAAAUAUCUGCAAUAAAAUAAACCCAGAUGUUGCAUAUUACGGAGUGGAAUUUUAAGAUUGCAUAAAUUUUAAAGAUGAAAUGCAAGUCUUCAAAUCCAUUUUGCACCACAGGAGGGCUCUUCGGGCUGUGCUCCAGGCCUCCCAGCUGGCACCAUUCAGGCCCCUGUGCCAUGAGGGCUACUUGGAGAGAAAAAUGUUCUUUCGUAUUGCAGUUUCUUACUGAACAGUUCAUGUCCUUCCCCUCCUAAGAGUUGGGCCUGGCACGUGGCAGGUCCCUGACUGAUGUCCUUGGCUGAAUGAUGUGUUCUCGAUGAGCUGAUUCCCCUUGUAACAUCUUCAGUUCCCUAGGGACCUUAGCUGCCAGCCCUAAAGAAAAGCAUAACAGUAGACAUCCAGUCGCUGCGUCAAGUAGGAGGGUUUACACUGUGUGAGCGGAGAGGAGAGGAUUCCACGUCCCUCAGCAACUCGACUCCGUAUAACCCAGAGUUGAUUCUAGCUGGGACU